rnacentral:tRNA from 1 species
GCCGAGUGAAAUUAGGCAAAAGAUUUUUAAUCUUUUUACGGUUUUAAUAAACC